CUAUAGAUCGACGUGAAUAUGGAAUUUAAUGACAUUCGGGGGCACUCAAUUAAGAAAAUCUUGUCGCAAAUCGAUAUUGAAAGACAGAAACAGCAAUUUAAGACUAUCUUCAAUUGAAAUAUUUUCGUUGAAAGAUAUAAAAAAAAAUAUACAAAUCGAAGCAAACAGUGUUAUAUGUUUCCAACAAGAGAAUGAGUUCGAUAUAAAAAAAAAAAUCAGUUCUGACUCCUUUGAAAAAUGAAUGCACUCAAAAUUUCUGUAUUUAUGUAUUUAAGAUGUGCUCUUCUGUAUUUAAUUCCAUAUGUAGGAGGAGCAAACCUCCGAUGUAUUGACUGUCGACACUAUUUAUAUAAUUGCAAUGUUAGCAGAGAUCUUUUGAACGCUGGACAUAAUGAAGAUAGUAUAGUGGAUUUACAACCAAAUGAGAAACCAGAUCGAAGUUAUAAGAAAUGCUUAUUGCCCGGUAAAAAAGUAUCUGGGCCGAUUUUCAGUACUGUGUGUUCUGCUACCAAAGACAAAACCUGUGGCGUGUUAGGUACUCGUAGAAGUGUCAUUGUAAAAGGCAUCCAUCAUCAGUGUAGAUAUUGUGCAGCGCCUUGCAAAUGCAAGUUUCGUGGCGGAAAAGUAUCGAAUAUGAAAAAGGACGCUAAACUGAUUAUAUGUUUAAGCCUGUUACUUACUUUGACGUUAAUUAAUAAUCCGAUUUUAUAACAUAAAUUGAAUACAAUAGAAAAUUAAUUUAAAUUAAAAAUUAAAGUUUGGAUGAUCAUCUAUUCAUAGAGGUACAUAUAAAGUACUAUAUUUAAUAUAGCUAAAAUCCCAAAUUUAGCGUUACUCUCAUAUUCGGGCUUUUAGUCAAGUUAUACUAUAAAAUACUACGACAACUACGAAUAGCCGCAAAUAAUCAACUAAAAAACUAUUUCCCUGAGAUGAAACGGAGAUUGUCCUAAUGGAGUACAGAAUACUCGACCAAGGGCACCAGAAACAAACCUGGUGGGACGAACACGCUACCCCGUGCAUGUAGUAUUAGAUCUAUUUAAAUUCCAAAUUAUAUUACUUUAUUAAUCGCAACUGAAAUUUGUAUUGUAUUUGAACUCUCAGCUGCUACAAGCAAUGAACUAACGAUGGCAGAGGUGAUUCGCGUGUGGAAUUUAUGCCUGGCGAUGUUAGAAUCUUCUGAAUACCCUAAGCCAAUGUUGCCGUUUUGUCAAGGUCAUUUGUCUCUUUUGGCAAAUUCGCGAGCAAAUUGAAAACAAAAUCCCAAGAAAAAGCUCUUUGCUAAUGGACCGUUGCGCUGCAUUUAAAGGCAGAGGAAAAGACAGAGGCAGACAUAGAGGCAGUGACAGAUGCACUAACGUGGAUUAAAAAUGUGUUCAAAGUACAAGAGAAAAGACAACGGGACAAACAACAAAAGCAGCGCCGCAAUGAAGCAACCCAGACAGAUCCUGCUUACUUCCGUGCAGCCUGUCUAGCUCUCUUUCCAAUCGCGUUAAUCUAUAAGCAACGCAAUGAAAAUGAAAUGGAACAGCGGUAAACUACGUUUGGGUAUAUUAAGCAAAUUAAAUUUUGUACAGACGCACCCAGAAGAGGCACGUGCAGCAACUUAAGGCCAGGUCUUCCAGGGAGGGAGCCUGGCACCUGCCAAAAAAGCAACAAUCAAAUAAAUACCACUACGAAAAACCAAGCGUCGCAUGCAAAUAAAAGAACGCACAACAAAACGUGACGCUAUAACAACAAAAGUAAACAGAGAAACAUAGAGCAAACGAACAAAAAAAAUAAUAAAACAGUUGUCGAAAUAUAUGUAUGUAUGUAUGCACAAGAACAGAGGAAUAUAAAAAUAAAACGGUAACAAGAGCAUCGGCAGAAAUAACACGCUGACUGCUCAAUGCUUUAAAACUCAGCAGCAAAUCUUCGUUUCACAUUCCAAAAUGUUUCACUCUCGCACUGUCAAACAGAGAGCAAUAAAUUAGGUGGGCGGGCGGAGAUGUUUCAAUUCGCAAAAGCAGUACUCACUCUUCGCUGAAAGCUACUGCUGCUGCUGUCGCACAUCGCGGUUCUUCCACUCUGUCUGUGUCCCACAUCUUCGACUGCGCUUCAGCAACGACGACGCGACGUUGGCGCACAUAUGCCGUUAAGCGCAUCAUGCAUGUUAUUCUCUAAUGGCGGCAACGACUAUGGCUACUCUCAACGCAUUAAACAAUUGUCUGCUCCACAUCCCCAAAUACACAUAUGUACAUACCCAAGCAAAUCGUAGCCACCUGCUGGCAUUGCACUGAAGCACAGUGCAACAGCAUGAGUAAAUUGGAGAUAAGCGGACAAAGAGAAGUCAUAGCUGGGAAAUGUGUGUAUGUUAUGUACAUAUAUAAUUAAAUCAAUAUUUGUAUGCAUUUACAUACAUAUAAUACAAAAAAGACAAUUUUAUUAAUGUUUUUACUAUUAUAUGACAUACUAUUUUAUGACACGUUUUCAGCAGCUGCUUACCACUGUGCACACUUCUAUUUGACAUAAUGAUACCUCCACUCAUCGACCAAGCUAACCAUGUUUUUGUUUCAUUGACGUUGAGACUACUCGCGAUGUAAUUAUCAUCAUGUCAUUACGUCAUAAGCAUGUAAAUCAUCGUUGCAAAUUCGCAUAAGCCUGCGCGAGCACACACACAUUCGAUGAAAAAGAGAGUUAGGGAGAGAGACGACAAUGCACACACACACACACACACACACACACACACAUGCACAAACCCAUUUUAGAUGUCAGCGUUUACCGCUAUUUUGCAUUUUGUUUUGAUUUUAAUUUGGCGCGCACUGUGAGAACAUUCGGUCAUCUGCUGACUUCUUUCACCAUAUAAUAUGCAAUGAAUCGCUAAUGGCCCAGAGUCGGAUAAAAUGACAUGCAAAAAGCUCAGGCAAUUAACAUCAACUUCGACAAGACACGCGAUAAAAGCUGAGCGCUCUUUUUUAUUGCUCAAAUGGAGCGUAAAAUUGGCAGAAAAUAAAAAUUACGAAUUGCAACAA